GACGAACCGUGCGAACGUUGUUCGGAAUUACUGGGCGUAAAGGGCUCGUAGGCGGCCAACUAAGUCGGACGUGAAAUCCCCAGGCUCAACCUGGGAACUGCGUCCGAUACUGGAUGGCUUGAAUCCGGGAGAGGGAUGCAGAAUUCCAGGUGUAGCGGUGAAAUGCGUAGAUAUCCGGAGGAACACCGGUGGCGAAGGCGGCUUCCUGGACCGACACUGACGCUGAGGCGCGAAAGCUAGGGGAGCAAACGGG
rnacentral:rRNA from 1 species